CUGCUGCCUCCCGUAGGAGUUUGGGCCGUGUCUCAGUCCCAAUGUGGCCGGCCACCCUCUCAGGUCGGCUACUAAUCGUCGCCUUGGUGGGCCUCUCCCCCGCCAACUAGCUAAUCAGACGCGGGCCCAUCCCAUACCACCGGAGUUUUUCACACCAGGCCAUGCGGCCCUUGUGCGCUUAUGCGGUUUUAGCAGCCGUUUCCGGCUGUUAUCCCCCUGUAUGGGGCAGGUUGCCCACGCGUUACUCACCCGUCCGCCACUCAGU
rnacentral:rRNA from 1 species